rnacentral:rRNA from 1 species
GGAUUAGAUACCCUGGUAGUCCACGCCGUAAACGAUGGAUACUGUCUGUUUGGGGAUUUAUUCUCUAAGUGGAUAAGCGAAAGUGAUAAGUAUCCCACCUGGGGAGUACGUUCGCAAGAAUGAAACUCAAAGGAAUUGACGGGGGCCCGCACAAGCGGUGGAGCAUGUGGUUUAAUUUGAUGAUACGCAAGGAACCUUACCAAGGCUUAAAUGUAUGAUGACAGGACUAGAGAUAGUUUUUUCUUCGGACGUUAUACAAGGUGCUGCAUGGUUGUCGUCAGCUCGUGCCG